rnacentral:lncRNA from 1 species
ACAUCAGCACAUCAACGUCUCAAACCACACCAAACUUUACACACACACACAUCAACACAUCAACACAUCAACCUCUCAAACCACACCAAACUUUACACACACACACAUCAACACAUCAGCACAUCAACAUCUCAAACCACACCAAACUUUACACACACACACAUCAGCACAUCAACAUCUCAAACCACACCAAACUUUACACACACACACAUCAGCACAUCAGCAUCUCAAACCACACCAAACUUUACACACACACACAUCAACACAUCAGCACAUCAACGUCUCAAACCACACCAAACUUUACACACACACACAUCAACACAUCAGCACAUCAACGUCUCAAACCACACCAAACUUUACACACACACACACAUCAACACAUCAACGUCUCAAACCACACCAAACUUUACACACACACACAUCAACACAUCAGCACAUCAACGUCUCAAACCACACCAAACUUUACACACACACACACAUCAACACAUCAACAUCUCAAACCACACCAAACUUUACACACACAUCAGCACAUCAACAUCUCAAACCACACCAAACUUUACACACACACACAUCAACACAUCAGCACAUCAGCACAUCAACAUCUCAAACCACACCAAACUGCACACACACAUCAACACAUCAACAUCUCAAACCACACCAAACUUUACACACACACAUCAACACAUCAACACAUCAACAUCUCAAACCACACAACACUUUACACACACAUCAGCACAUCAACGUCUCAAACCACACCAAACUUUACACACACAUCAACACAUCAACAUCUCAAACCACACCAAACUGUACACACACAUCAGCACAUCAACACAUCAACAUCUCAAACCACACCAAACUUUACACACACACAUCAACACAUCAGCACAUCAACGUCUCAAACCACACCAAACUUUACACACACACACAUCAACACAUCAGCACAUCAACAUCUCAAACCACACCAAACUUUACACACACAUCAACACAUCAACGUCUCAAACCACACAACACUUUACACACACAUCAGCACAUCAACAUCUCAAACCACACCAAACUUUACACACACAUCAACACAUCAGCACAUCAACAUCUCAAACCACACCAAACUGUACACACACAUCAACACAUCAACACAUCAACAUCUCAAACCACACCAAACUUUACACACACAUCAGCACAUCAACGUCUCAAACCACACCAAACUUUACACACACAUCAACACAUCAACAUCUCAAACCACACCAAACUUUACACACACAUCAGCACAUCAACAUCUCAAACCACACCAAACUUUACACCACACACAUCAACACAUCAACAUCUCAAACCACACCAAACUGUACACACACAUCAACACAUCAACCUCUCAAACCACACCAAACUUUACACACACAUCAACACAUCAGCACAUCAACAUCUCAAACCACACCAAACUUUACACACACAUCAGCACAUCAACGUCUCAAACCACACCAAACUUUACACACACAUCAGCACAUCAAACCACACCAAACUUUACACACACAUCAACACAUCAGCACAUCAACGUCUCAAACCACACCAAACUUUACACACACAUCAACACAUCAGCACAUCAACGUCUCAAACCACACCAAACUUUACACACACAUCAACACAUCAACGUCUCAAACCACACCAAACUUUACACCACACACAUCAACACAUCAACACAUCAACGUCUCAAACCACACCAAACUUUACACACACAUCAACACAUCAGCACAUCAACAUCUCAAACCACACCAAACUUUACACACACAUCAACACAUCAGCACAUCGACGUCUCAAACCACACCAAACUUUACUCUCCACCACCAUCAUCCACA